rnacentral:rRNA from 1 species
GCGUAAGAGCUCGUAGGUCGUUUGUUACGUCGGAUGUGAAAACCUGAGGCUCAACCUCAGGCCUGCAUUCGAUACGGGCAAACUAGAGUUUGGUAGGGGAGACUGGAAUUCCUGGUGUAGCGGUGGAAUGCGCAGAUAUCAGGAGGAACACCAAUGGCGAAGGCAGGUCUCUGGGCCAAUACUGACACUGAGGAGCGAAAGUCUGGGGAGCGAACAGGAUUAGAUACCCUGGUAGUCCAGACCGUAAACGGUGGGCACUAGUUGUGGGAACCUUCCACGGUUUCUGCGACGCAGCUAACGCAUUAAGUGCCCCGCCUGGGGAGUACGAUCGCAAGAUUAAAACUCAAAGGAAUUGACGGGGCCCCGCACAAGCAGCGGAGCAUGCGGCUUAAUUCGACGCAACGCGAAGAACCUUACCAAGGCUUGACAUAUAGGGAAAAGUGGCAGAGAUGUCAUGUCCGCAAGGGCUCUAUACAGGUGGUGCAUGGUUGUCGUCAGCUCGUGUCGUGAGAUGUUGGGUUAAGUCCCGCAACGAGCGCAACCCUCGUUCUGUGUUGCCAGCAUUUAGUUGGGGACUCACAGGAGACUGCCGGGGUUAACUCGGAGGAAGGUGGGGAUGACGUCAAAUCAUCAUGCCCCUUAUGUCUUGGGCUGCACGCAUGCUACAAUGGCCGGUACAGAGGGCUGCAAUACCGU